AGUGAACGCUGGCGGUAGGCCUAACACAUGCAAGUCGAACGGCAGCACAGUAAGAGCUUGCUCUUACGGGUGGCGAGUGGCGGACGGGUGAGGAAUACAUCGGAAUCUACUUUUUCGUGGGGGAUAACGUAGGGAAACUUACGCUAAUACCGCAUACGACCUACGGGUGAAAGCAGGGGAUCUUCGGACCUUGCGCGAUUGAAUGAGCCGAUGUCGGAUUAGCUAGGUGGCGGGGUAAAGGCCCACCAAGGCGACGAUCCGUAGCUGGUCUGAGAGGGUGAAUCGCCCACCUUGGACCGGGACCCGGCCCAGGCCCCCUCGGGGGGCCGCCGGGGGGGAUUAUUGGACAUGGGGGCCAGUCUUGAUCCGCCACGCCGGGGGGGGGAAGAAGGUCUUUGGGUUGGAAAGGUCUUUUGGUGGGGAAAAAAAAGCAGCGGUUUAACACCCCGGUGUUGUGACGGUACCCAAAGAAAAAGCCCCGGCUAACUCCGUG
rnacentral:rRNA from 1 species